AGCCCCUGGCAAUAGGCAAAGAGAUACCAUCUUGUGGUAUUGCUCUUAUAUCAGCCAGGGGCAGAGCAGAUGGCAGUCCAUUGUUCAUCCAAGCUUGAUGCCUGACUUGGUGGCCUAAGCUGUCUUAUGCAUAGGGACUCAUAA